rnacentral:lncRNA from 1 species
UCUGCCCACACUCUCCGUCUGCAUCGCCUGUAUCUUCACAUGGCUCCACUCCCCCAUCCCGACCCGUGUCUGUCGUCGUUCCCCUUCUCCAGCCUAUCCACCUUGCUGCCUGCCUGCCCAUCCGUCCAUCCAUCCUCUGUACUGCUGCUAGCUCUGGGGGGGCGGAGGCCAGGGGCGCUGCUCACCACCCUGAGCACGUCCAGCCACUCCUGGGGUGGAGGCAGCACAAGCCCCGCCCCCUACCUGGGGAAGGGAGGAGGAUGCACCAUCCAGCAGGCUCUGUGGCCCAUGAGGUCCCUGAGCCUCAUUAACUGACGAGGGACCAGGCAGGGCCACAGCCCAAGGCCUGGGCCACCCAGUGAGCAGAGCCCAGCCUGGCCCGCGGCAUCCUCCCCGGGUGACCACCUCCCCGCCUCCCCGCCGUGGCAGCGCCCCAGUGCUGGCCCCAGGGGCUUACCGGGUGGGGCUGAGGGGCGGCCCCACAGCCCGGUGCCGGUCGCUAAGGUCUAGGGACUGGCUCAGGGUGGCGCCCACGGUGGUGGCAGUCCCCAGCUUCCGGCCGCGCCACUGCUCCACGGCGAUGGCCAGCUGCUCGGCUUCGGAGGGCUGGUACCGCUGGAUGUGGGCCCCGGCCCCGGGGCCGGCAGCCCUGUCCAGGGCCAGGCUGGUGGGCCGCUGUGCGGGGAGCCCCACAGGCUCCGGGCCGGGCUGGAGCGGCCUCGUCCCUGCUGCCCGUGGGCUCCUCUCGGGAGGCCUGCACGUGCCGGUUCUGCAGCUCCACGUGCUCCAGCCCUCGCUGCCGCCGGGACUCGCGCUUCUCCCGGCUGCUGGCUGCCUUCUCGUGGCCCUCGCCCGCUGCCACAGCCGUGCUCCUUGGAGUCUGGAGCCCCUUCCCCGGGGGUGGCGCUGCCUCCUCCUCUGCUGGUGACCGUUCUUCCGGCUGUGGCUCUGGUGCUGGUGCCAGGUGCUCAGAGUCCCCAGCGGCCCCCACACCCCUGCCCGGCCACCUGUUCCUCGGCGGCCUCUGGGCCGGGCCCGGGCUCCGUGUCCUGCCCCCUUGCGGCCUCCUGGGCCUCCCUUGCCCGCUCUUCCUCUUUCUGCUUCUCGCCGAGCAUCUGGCUGAAGCUACGCAGGGACAGAGCAGGGUCAGGUCCGAGGCAGGAGGGGUGUGAGCUCCAUGCCCAUGCCCCCAUGCUGCCUGCAGGCUGGGGCCGCUCCGGUCCCCGCCUGUGCCUGGCACCCACAGUCACUUGUGGGGUCAGGGCCUCCACACGAGGACGUGGGAGGUGCCCACUCAGCAUCGCCACGCACAACCUGGGUGCCCGCUGACCCUUGCCAGGCUGCUGUGUGUGGGUGGCUGCUCGGGGAAACUCUCUCAAGCCGCGACUUGUUUUGCUCUUUUGCAGUUUAGGAGACUGAACCCGGGGUCGUCUCUGAGCUACAUUUUGAGACAGGGUCUUGCUAAGUUGCCCAAGAUGGUUUUGACCUUGUGACCCUCCUUCCUCAGCUUCAGGAGCAGCAGGGAUUACAGGCCUAGGGUGUCCUGGCUAUGCCCUGGAGGAGGCUCCUCCAGGAGGCCUUGCACCCGUGGGUACUCUCAGGGACUCUGACAAGGACUCUGGCCCAGGGGCUGCGUCCUCACUCGAGGUAGAGGUGGGGCGGGUGCUGGCUGGGCAGGGCUGGUCUUGGGGAUGUGGGCACUGACAGGCAUGGGCGCCACCCAUGUGCUGCUGCGGGGGGGUCCCUGCCCAGCAGGUGCCCAGGCUCUGCAGGUCAAGUGGGAGCAGCCCCUGCUCUGACCCGGAACACGGUGUGCUGUGGAGCCGGGCAGGUGGUGGGUAAAGCCGGAUCCUAGGUGGGGACCAAUGCGACCUCUGGGCCACCUCCGGGCCUCCCAGCAAGUGGGGAGCAUCUCAUGAGCCCUGUGUGCCCCGACAGAGGGUUCCCCGUGCAUCCCAGGGGCAGUGCCCAGCCACUCACCUCCGGCGCUGCAGGUGGCCGCGACACAGGCUCUGCAGGCACACAGCAGCCUGUGUCCUCUCCAGCGCCCGGCGCACCUGGUAGGAGCGCCAGCAGGCCUGGAUGGUCACGGCGGCGCGGCGCAUCUGCAGGAAGUGGCGGCGCUCCAGCACCAUGCGGAACCAGCUCUGCAGCAGCAGGAUCUUGCGCAUGACCUCGCGGUGCAGCGUCUCCUGCAGGGCCUGGCGCUCCGUCUCCUUCAGGAAGACCUGGG